rnacentral:rRNA from 1 species
UACGUAGGGGGCAAGCGUUGUCCGGAUUUAUUGGGCGUAAAGAGCGUGUAGGCGGCCAUGUAGGUCCGUUGUGAAAACUGGAGGCUCAACCUUCAGACGUCGACCGAAACCAUCUGGCUAGAGUCCGGGAGAGGAGAGUGGAAUUCCUGGUGUAGCGGUGAAAUGCGCAGAUAUCAGGAAGAACACCCGUGGCGAAAGCGGCUCUCUGGAACGGUACUGACGCUGAGACGCGAAAGCGUGGGGAGCGAACAGG